rnacentral:lncRNA from 1 species
AGAGUGCUCUAAUUAUUUAAUGAUUAUCAUCAUUAUUCAUUUAAUUAUUCGAUUAAUUAUUUAUUUUCAUCAUUAUGUUUAUUAUUAUUAUUUAUUUUAUCGUUGUCGUUUAUUGUUGAUAUUAUUUAUUUAUUUAUUUGCAUUUGAGUAUGAAUGUCUAAUUGAGCAUUGCAUUUCGAUGUUUAACUGAUCAACAUGUCUGUAUUUAAUUGCAAUACUUGAUUAAUUGUGUUGUAAUAUUACUGUGCUUUGUUUGUGUGGAAUUGGGAUGAAGUGGGUCACCAUGGGUUUGUGAGGACGGUCAAUAAAGCAUGGAUCCUGAUUAUGAUGAAUUAUGAAAUUGGACCGUCGGCCGGGAAAAUGGGAGAUCGGCGCCCCCGUGUGCACCUGCCUUG